GCUUGUAGAUGCAAGCCGUUCUUUCCAGAAACUGAAAGCCAACGCAUUAUCGUCGAAAUCUCAAACAUCCCUAAACCCAUCAUUACAACCAUGAAACUCUAUCACCUCUACCAUUUUUUUGUCCACACUACCAUUUUUCCACGUCUCGUCAUCUCCACCACAUCUCAUCAAAAUCACAUACAAACACCACAAUAAGAACACCAUCAUUGCAACCAUCGUCUUCUCCAUACAACCAUCAUCACCAUCUUCACAGUUGCAAGAAACCAACCCUUACAUACUCCGGCUUCCUUAUUUAAACCCUACAUCGACUAUCUUCUCUCAACUCACAUCAGUGAGCAUCAAACUGCUGCUUCACAUCCAACGACCACCCUCUCUCGGCCACGGUCGACGACUACAAUCUCACCGGAUUAUGCUUUUUUUGUUCUUUUUCAGGGUGGGGCACUUACAAGUUUCCGGAAAUGGUGGUUGUUGAUAAUUGUCAGAGAUGUGGCCCGUGGUGGUGCCGGAAUAGGUGAUGGUCAUGGUGCAUGGUUGUGGUGCAGGAACAGGUGAAUGGUAGUUAUUGGUGACCGAUUGUGGUUGUGGUGCAGGUGAGAGUAUGAGUGAGUCCACAUGUCUAAUUGAUUUUGCUUAAUUAAUAAGUGAUAAUUAAAAAACUAAAGAUUAAAAUAUAAAUGGUAAAAUAGUCUUUCUAUGUUUA